rnacentral:SRP_RNA from 1 species
GCCGGGUGUUGUGGCGGGCACCUGUAGUCCCAGCUACUUGGGAGGCUGAGGCAGGAGACUUGCUUGAGCCCAGGAGUUGGAGGUUGCUGUGAGCUGUGAUGCUAUAGCACUUUACCCAGGGGGACAGCUUGAGGCUCUGUCUCAAAAAAAAAAAAAAAAAAAAGAUAGUUUUAUAUGAUGCAGGCCUGGCUGUUAUGAGAACUCUUUCUGUGGGAACAAUUUUGGAGGGUUUUUUUUUUUUGAGACAGAGUCUCAAGCAGUCACCCUGGGUAGAGUGCUAUGGCAUCACAGCUCACAGCAACCUCCAACUCUUGGGCUUAAGUGAUUCUCUUGCCUCAG